GAAUUUUAUAAUUUUAUAUUAAAUUAUUAAUAAAAAAAUUAUUUAAUUGGGAGGAUUAUUAAAUUUAAUAAACUUUGAUUGAUAUUAAAACAUAAAUUAAUGAAAAUUAGUAGUAUAAGAAUAAGAAUUAUUAAAAAAGAAUUAAUUACCUUAGGGAUAACAGCAUAAGAUUAUUUUUUAGAUCAUAUAAAUAAUAAUUAUUGU
rnacentral:rRNA from 1 species